rnacentral:ribozyme from 1 species
AGUCGUUUGAGCAACUUUAAAUAGCAGCCUUAAGCUCAAAGCGUUAGAAGGUAUAACGGCCUUCUAGGUGGUU